UACGGAGAGGGCUAGCGUUGUUCGGAAUUAUUGGGCGUAAAGAGCUCGUAGGCGGUUUGUUGCGUCGGCUGUGAAAUCCCGAGGCUCAACCUCGGGUCUGCAGUCGAUACGAGCAAACUAGAGUGUUGCAGGGGAGACUGGAAUUCCUGGUGUAGCGGUGAAAUGCGCAGAUAUCAGGAGGAACACCGGUGGCGAAGGCGGGUCUCUGGGCAGCAACUGACGCUGAGGAGCGAAAGCGUGGGGAGCGAACAGG
rnacentral:rRNA from 1 species